rnacentral:rRNA from 1 species
UACGUAGGGGGCAAGCGUUGUCCGGAAUCAUUGGGCGUAAAGAGCGUGUAGGCGGUUCAGUAAGUCCGCUGUGAAAGUCCAGGGCUCAACCCUGGAAAGCCGGUGGAUACUGCCGGGCUAGAGUCCGGGAGAGGCGAGUGGAAUUCCUGGUGUAGCGGUGGAAUGCGCAGAUAUCAGGAAGAACACCCGUGGCGAAGGCGGCUCUCUGGGACGGUACUGACGCUGAGACGCGAAAAGCGUGGGGGAGCAAAACAGG